CCCUGAGUAAGCCCUGUUGUUAGGGGCAGGUGGCAGGGGGCCCUUUGUGACACCCCCACUGCAGCACGUGUGGUCAGUGAGGUGGUGGCCCACAGUGUCCAGCAGAACAGUGACAGGACAAGAUGGGAAAACUGAGCUGGCGAGAGCUGCCAUCACAGCCCACCCCAUAUCUUGCCCCACGACAAUGAGGCGUUUGUAGAAGCUUCCCCGGUCCCCACCCACAGGAUGGCAGAGAGACCCCCCAGCCCCUCCAGGGCGGCCCAAGAGGAGGAUGGGGCUCCCCAGGAGAGCAGCUCUCCAGCAGAGCCCCAUGAUGUGACUGCAGAGCAGCCCCUGCAACUGGAUGCCAGCUGGCUGCCAAUGUACAGAGUGAAGAAGAAAGCCCUAGACUUUCUCCAGGAAUUUGCCAGGAGCCCCUACCAGGGUGAGGAUGACAAAAGGAUGUUCCUGGAGAACAUCAUCUAUGUGUGCAGAAGUGCCUUGGACACUGGUUUGUUAGAGGGCCUGGAAAUCUUCUUCCAAAAUAUCAAUCUGGUAGAGAAGAUCAAGAUGGUGCUGGAAGAGGAGCCCAAGAAGCAUCUGCGCUCACCUGUGAGGGAGCUCGCCAUGCGGGCCAUCACUGUUUUGAGCUCCGUGGGCACAGUGCUAGAGGGCAAAAGGAGAAGCCUCCUCGAAGCCUGUAUCUCCAGUGUCUUCUGGCUUCCUUCAAACAAGGGCAUGAGGCAAAGAAACAGAUACUACUCAACAGUAAGUGCUGGGUAAUCUGUGGGAGCACCCAGUCUCUCGGGGUUGCUCCCUGGCCACCCUGUGCUGCCCCAUGAUCAAGGCAGGGCAGGGUCUCGACUUUGCUUUUCCGCCUGGGUCCCUCUGUCCCUUUCCUGGGGCCCAGCCACAUCCAGUGCCACCAGGUGCUGUGCCUGCAGCAGACUGCCUGUCCCCAGGUCUCUCCCAGGAAACUUGGACAUCCUCCCCUGGCACUGGGCAUUCCGAUCAGUCUCCUG
rnacentral:lncRNA from 1 species